UAUUGGUCAAUGGCCUAACGGCUGAACCAGCAACUUGAAGGGAUGUCCCGUUUUAAACAGGUUAAAAGACAAAAGCUAAUUAAAGUUUUUAGCGGUUUUUCCGUAUAAAGAUCUGAUAGGAUACUGAUAAUGACAAUAUUCUAUAUAAGUCUUGACUAACACACGUGCCAGCGGUCGCGGUAAGACGGGAAAGGCAAGGGUUAUUCAUCUUUAUUAGGUAUAAAGGGUACCUAGACAGCAUAGUAGGCUAAUAUAAGAAUAGUUAUGCUAGAGUUUUAUGUGAGAGGGAUUUAGUAUGAAUGGAGGAGAGAUAAAAUUCUUUGAUACUGUUUGGCACUGAUCACGGCGAAGGCAGACCUUUAUGUAAAAACUGACGUUGAGGGACGAAGGCUCGGGUAGCAAACAGGAUUAGAGACCCUAAUAGUCUGGGCAGAAAAUGAUGAGUGUUAUAGAUUAGACUAGUGUUGGUCUAUCAAUGAAAGUGUAAGCAUUCCACCUCAAGAGUAAUGUGGCAACGCAGGAACUGAAAUCAUUAGACCGUAUUUGAAACCAGUAGUGAAGUAUGUUAUUUAAUUCGAUAACCCUCGAAAAAUCUUACCACAAAUUGUAUAUUUUUUAACAUAGUAAAACAUAAUUGUUUUACCUGGAACCUCUUUUUUAAGAAAUGUUAUUUUUUACAAGCGCUGCAUGGCUGUCUUAAGUUAAUGUCGUGAGACCUAGGUCUAUUCCGUAUAAUUAACGUAACCCCUCUUCACAUUUUAAAUGCGUCGGCCCUCUAGUAUAUCGGAAAGGUAAAAGGGAACAAGACAAGCCCUCA
rnacentral:rRNA from 1 species